CCUACGGGAGGCAGCAGUGAGGAAUAUUGGUCAAUGGGAGAGAUCCUGAACCAGCCAAGCCGCGUGAGGGAAGACGGCCCUAUGGGUUGUAAACCUCUUUUGUCGGAGAACAAACCCCGGGACGUGUCCCGGACUGCGUGUAUCCGAAGAAAAAGCAUCGGCUAACUCCGUGCCAGCAGCAGCGGUAAUACGGGGGAUGCGAACGUUAUCCGGAUUUAUUGGGUUUAACGGGUGCGUAGGCGGUCCGUUAAGGCAGCGGUAAAAUUGCGGGGCUCAACCCCGGCGAGCCGUUGAAACUGGCAGACUGGAGUUGGCGAGAGGUACGCGGAAUGCGCGGUGUAGCGGUGAAAUGCAUAGAUAUCGCGCAGAACUCCGAUUGCGAAGGCAGCGUACCGGAGCCAGACUGACGCUGAGGCACGAAAGCGUGGGGAUCGAACAGGAUUAGAUACCCUGGUAGUC
rnacentral:rRNA from 1 species